ACGACAACAAGGGCGGCGCCAUUGCGCUCAUUUUGUCAACGUUCUUCCGGCCGCAUAGACGAUGAGCAGCUGAGGCAGUGACUGAAGGCGACGUGUUAAGCUUAAAAAGCCCACUCGAGCGCCUUUAUGUUUCUUUCUUACCAAUUUUAAGCCAACUGAGGAACACCCUUAUCCCAAGUAAUGGUUCGACUACGAUGUUCCGGUAACUUUAAACCACGCCUGGUGUUGGAAAGGUGGCCAGUUUCAGAUGCAUUGAUGUGUAGGGAUGCAGUGGACAACUGUGAGGAUGAUACAAUCAACAUGUUCCUAAACUGUGAUGCAGAAACACAAUGGGAGCAUCUAUCCGUCUCUGAACACAACUACACUUUAAAAUCACAACUCAACCUGAAGCAACAUACAUCUGAUAUGGGAAAACAAUGGUGCGGUUUCCCGGACAGGGCUUAUCCUGGUCCCAGGCUAAAAUGCAUAUUUGAGCUACAAUAAUUUAAAAACACCUUUUACUGACAUACCUCAACAUAUAUGAGUGCCAUUGUUUUGUCACAAGAUGCGCACCAGUCUUGUUUUUUUGUAGGAUUUGUUUGUAAAAACUAAAAUGUCCUAAUAUAAUUAAGGCCUAGUCCUGUAAACCCUGUCCGAGAAACUGCUUCAAUGUGUUGAGCUGGCACAAAUGUACAUAACUCUACUGAGAAACAACCAUCUUUGGUUCAGCUUUACACAGGGUUGAUAUUGCAUCCAUUACACAGUCGCCAAGCACUUUACCAGUACAUACACCAACAGCUUCCAGAUAUACGCUUGGGAUCAGCUCCUGAUGAAUCCGAUAAAGCUGUGUCUUAAUUUAUUGCAGGGUGGUCUUGCUUUACCUGUUGUAAAGUUACAUUAAACCUUCAUAUGUGAUCAGAUGUCAUGCAGUGAUAUUAAACAUUUACAGUGUGAUCAGAUGUUGUGCAUUUAUAUUAAACCUUUACAAUGUGAUCA